CCUGCGGAGGGAUCAUUACCGAGUUUACAACUCCCAAACCCCUGUGAACAUACCUAUACGUUGCCUCGGCGGAUCAGCCCGCGCCCCGUAAAACGGGACGGCCCGCCCGAGGACCCUAAACUCUGUUUUUAGUGGAACUUCUGAGUAAAACAAACAAAUAAAUCAAAACUUUCAACAACGGACCUCUUGGUUCUGGCAUCGAUGAAGAACGCAGCAAAAUGCGAUAAGUAAUGUGAAUUGCAGAAUUCAGUGAAUCAUCGAAUCUUUGAACGCACAUUGCGCCCGCCAGUAUUCUGGCGGGCAUGCCUGUUCGAGCGUCAUUUCAACCCUCAAGCUCAGCUUGGUGUUGGGACUCGCGGUAACCCGCGUUCCCCAAAUCGAUUGGCGGUCACGUCGAGCUUCCAUAGCGUAGUAAUCAUACGCCUCGUUACUGGUAAUCGUCGCGGCCACGCCGUAAAACCCCAACUUCUGAAUGUUGACCUCGGAUCAGGUAGGAAUACCCGCUGAACUUAAGCAUAUC
rnacentral:rRNA from 1 species